GACACAAGCUUGGGGUUGGGGGUAACUGAAAGGGUGAAUGAGGACAGAUGUGGUUUACUUGCAUGGAUGAAAAUAGAACAAUGAAGCCUGUGAAAGUGUUUCAAGAAGAUAGAGUGGGAUUGGAGAGAAUGGUAGAGGACACAAGGUUGAUGAAGAUACUUGGUGUACAUGUAUGGAAAUGUCACAGAGGAUCUCCUUGUACAACUAAUGGAUGCUAAUUUAUUUUUUAAAUCCAUGAAAGAGCUGCCUAACUUAAUGUUUCUACUGUUUCAAUCCAAACGUGUUUUCUCUCUCUAGUGUUAAUCCUAGGUAGAUCUUGUGCUUACUUAGUAAUAGUUGCCAUUGCAUUUUAAUAUUUGGUAUGGCCUGUUUUAAAUGGUAGAUUUAUGGAUGAUGUGCUUUUUUUUUAUGUGUUGUGACUCAUGACUGGAAAUGCAUGCCUGCUAAAUAUCACAUUCAUUCCAUAUUUUACCCCAUUCCAAGAAGUAUUUAUAGUGUUUUAUGUGUGAUAUGUUAAAAUAUCUUUAAAUGGUACUAUUCAUAUAGUAGGUUCUUAGCAAUCUCUGUGUGUCUCUAUGUGUGUGUCUCUCUCUUUUGGAAGUACUGGGAAUCAAACCCAGGGCCUUGUGAAUGUUCCACAAAUGCUUGACUACUGAGUUACAUCAUCAGCCUUAUAAUUUGUCUUUUAAGAAAAAAAAAUAAAAUAUACCACUCUUGGGCUCUAACAAAUUCUGUAUUGUUCCCUCUGCAGUUAAAGAGCAUCCUAAGUCAAGACUAUGAUUAUAUAGUAUCUGUUCUAAAACGCUAAGUCCAGUGCAGUAGCUGAAAGAGGGAUAUGAUAAAGUGGCUUACUCUGUUAACAGGUUAAGGGAAACUUAGUACAGUAGGAAAAAAAAAACAUGUUAAGCUGGGCACUUGUGGAACUAGAGAAGAAGAAGGAGGUGGAGGUGGUAGAAGAGGAGAAAGAGGAAGGGAA